UGAAAUACUACACAGCCACUAAAAUGAUGGU
rnacentral:piRNA from 1 species